rnacentral:rRNA from 1 species
CUGAAAUUCGCCUUCCAUGAAGCCGGAAUUGCUAGUAAUGGCAGGUCAGCAUACUGCCGUGAAUACGUUCCCGGGCCUUGUACACACCGCCCGUCACACCAUGAGAGUUGGGAAUACCCGAAGCCUGUGAGCUAACGAAAGAGGCAGCAGUCGAAGGUAGAAUCAAUGAUUGGGGUGAAGUCGUAACAAGGUAGC